GAUGAACGCUAGCGGCAGGCCUAAUACAUGCAAGUCAAGGGGAUAGCAAUAUCACCGGCGGACGGGUGCGUAACGCGUACACAACGUGCCCAAGGGCGGAGGAAAGCGGCGGGAAACUGCCGGUAAUACUCCAUGGUGUUGUUGAGUGGCAUCACUUAACAACUAAAGUACAAGCGCCCUUGGAUCGGUGUGCGUUCGAUUAGCUAGUUGGCGGGGUAACGGCCCACCAAGGCUUCGAUCGAUAGGGGGUGUGAGAGCAUGACCCCCCACACGGGUACUGAGACACGGACCCGACUCCUACGGGAGGCAGCAGUAAGGAAUAUUGGACAAUGGGCGGAAGCCUGAUCCAGCCAUGCCGCGUGAAGGACGAAGGCGCUCAGCGUUGUAAACUUCUUUUGGAUGGGAACAAUAACUCCGACUUGUCGGAACUUGAGGGUACCAUCAGAAUAAGCACCGGCUAACUCCGUGCCAGCAGCCGCGGUAAAGUACAGUGU
rnacentral:rRNA from 1 species